rnacentral:rRNA from 1 species
GACGAACGCUGGCGGCGUGCUUAACACAUGCAAGUCGAACGGUGAAGCGCCUUCCUUUUUGGUGGGUGUGGAUGAGUGGCGAACGGGUGAGUAACACGUGAGUAACCUGCCCCCUUCUUCUGGAUAACCGCAUGAAAGUGUGGCUAAUACGGGAUAUUCUGGGUCUGUCGCAUGAUGGGUCUGGGAAAGAUAUUGUUUCGGUGGGGGAUGGGCUCGCGGCCUAUCAGCUUGUUGGUGGGGUGAUGGCCUACCAAGGCGGUGACGGGUAGCCGGCCUGAGAGGGUGGACGGUCACACUGGGACUGCGACACGGCCCAGACUCCUACGAGAGGCAGCAGUGGGGAAUAUUGCACAAGGGGCGCAAGCCUGAUGCAGCGACGCCGCGUGAGGGAUGGAGGCCUUCGGGUUGUGAACCUCUUUCGCCAGUGAAGCAGGCCUGCCUCGUUUGUGGGUGGGUUGACGGUAGCUGGAUAAGAAGCGCCGGCUAACUACGUG